AGCAGCCGCGGUAAUNCCAGCUCCAAUAGCGUGUAUNAAGUUGUUGCAGNUUAAAAAGCUCGUAGUUGAAUUUCGGGGUUAGUAGGUUGGUCAUGCCUCUGGUAUGUACUGGUCUCACUGAUUCCUCCUUCCUGAUGAACCGUAAUGCCAUUAAUUUGGUGUUGCGGGGAAUUUGGACUGUUACUUUGAAAAAAUUAGAGUGUUUAAAGCAAGCUAACGCUUGAAUACAUUAGCAUGGAAUAAUGAAAUAGGACGUUCGAUCCUAUUUUGUUGGUUUCUAGGAUUGACGUAAUGAUUAAUAGGGAUAGUUGGGGGCAUUAGUAUUCAAUUGUCAGAGGUGAAAUUCUUGGAUUUAUUGAAGACUAACUACUGCGAAAGCAUUUGCCAAGGAUGUUUUCAUUAAUCAAGAACGAAAGUUAGGGGAUCGAAGACGAUCAGAUACCGUCGUAGUCUUAACCAUAAACUAUGCCGACUAGGGAUCGGAUGAUGUUAAUUUUUUAAUGACUCA
rnacentral:rRNA from 1 species